rnacentral:rRNA from 1 species
GAUGAACGCUGGCGGCGUGCCUAAUACAUGCAAGUCGAGCGAACAGACGAGGAGCUUGCUCCUCUGACGUUAGCGGCGGACGGGUGAGUAACACGUGGAUAACCUACCUAUAAGACUGGGAUAACUUCGGGAAACCGGAUCUAAUACCGGAUAAUAUAUUGAACCGCAUGGUUCAAUAGUGAAAGACGGUUUUGCUGUCACUUCUCGAUGGAUCCGCGCCGCAUUAGAUAGUUGGGAAGGUAAAAGCUUACCAAGGCAAGGAUGCGUAGCCGACCUGAGAGGGGGAUAGCCGGCACGGGAGGGGGGACACGGACAAUAGGACUGAGGGAGGGAGCAGUAGGGAAUCUGACGCAGCGGGCGAAAGCAUGACGGAGUAAGCCCGAGUGAGUGAUGAAGGUCUUGGGAGCGUAAAACCGUGUUAUUAGGGAAGAACAGAUGUGGAAGGAGAUAAGCACGUCUUGACGGUACCGAAUCAGAAAGCAACGGCUAACUACGUG